GUAGAAGAUAAAGAAAUACAACAUUUUUGAUUUUUAAGCUCUUGGUGGGAAGAAGGAAUUAAAUGCGCACUUAACUGGAGACUGUUUAUUAAAGUAUAAUGAGGUGGGACCCCCGCUUUGUUUGCUUGGCCCCUUCCGCUUUCCAUGAGGAAAUGACCAGACAGACAGCACAGCUUUGGGAGGAUGCAAACAGGAUUAUGGUUGGAUCUGGCUAAACUGUCUAUGGAAGAUAAAGGCAAAGGAUCACAGGUGCAUGAUGGGAAAGAGACAGCUUCCCACAUUUGAAUCCUGAGUGAGAAGGAGCCAUGUGAGUGAGGGUUUGAUGCUCGGGCCGUGCAGCGCAGGAGGAGUUCCAUCACUAUACCAUUAACUGAGAGACUUCAGAGCCCAAUAGGACUUGUGACCAGCCCAUUCUGGGACCCUUCCCUGCUGUGUAUGGGUUUUCUAGUGCAUUUUACUGCUGAGCCAUGGGAAGCCUUUUGUCUUUGGCUUGUUUAAUAGACUUUGGCCUCUGUCUCCACUCCUCCUUUCAUUUUAUUAUAGAAAGCUAAUCCAAUGAUUAGAGCGAGGACCUAUAUAAACCAGCUUGUCACCAUGUUUUUAGGGCUACAUAGCUGUCUGCAUCUAGUCUGUGACUCCCGAGUUCCUGGAUGAUGUAUUUUUGAGUUGUUAAACUUAUUUGGCUUUGGCCCUGGCCCGAUUCUGGACCUUGACUGCUGCCUAUCCUGAUUUUUGUUAAUUAUACUGCGCUAUGCCUUGCCUUCUGCUUACUGUGAGCAAUGGUUUGUAUACUAGACUCUGCCUUGUCUUCUGCCUGCCCUGACGGGCAACUUCCAAUCUGUAUCUUCCAAUAAAAUCCAGCCUUGUUUCUUUCAAA